GGUCCCCUGAAGCCUUAAUGCCCCUGGAGACAGACGUUAUCAGACCCGGCAGCCAUUUCCCCUCCCUGAUACAGCUACUUUUCCCCCCGUAGCCCCACUCUCACACCCUCGUCCUUGGCCCCCCCACCCAUCCAAGAGCUGUAUUACCAACAGGGUCUCUUUCCCUGGCUUUAUUUUAGCCUGAGUAUUGCAGCACUGCCACAGUUGUGCAACAGUUGUGUGUGUGGGGGUGUUGCCAUGUCAUGUUCAGGUACUGACUGAAAACUGGAGGCCUCUAAGUAGUCAGACAUUGCAGUAAACUUAGCACAACAACUGACAGGAAGACACAACACGCAGAAAUAAGCAUUGUGGGGCCGCCUCCAGCGUCAUUUCAGAGAUUUUGGAAGUUCAUCCAACAGGCCUCAAAACCGCAGACCACGUGUAACCACGCCAGCCCAGGACCGCCCUAUCCGACUUCUUCACCUGCAGGAUCGUCUGAGGCCAGCCACAUGGACAGCUGAUGAAACCGUUGGUUUACACAACCGUAGAAUUUCUGCACAAACUGUCAGAAAUCGCCUCAGGGAAGCUCAUCUGCGUGCUCGACGUCCUCACCAGGGUCUUGAUUUGCCUGCGGAUUGGUGUAACAAUCGAAGUGAGUGGGCAGGAGCUCACCUUCAAUGGCCACUGGCACGCUGGAGAACGGUCCUCUUCACUAAUUAAUUGUUUUAUUUUUUUUACUGCUGCUCGUUGUUUCCUUGUAUUGACCCAUGUAUGUUGAUCUGUUGCCUCUGACAUAUAACUACCUUGUCUGCGAGUUUUGGAGUUGUGUGUAUGGACUGAGUAAGCUGCAGAUUGCCCUUCUUGGGAUCAAUAAAGUUGUCUGAUUCUGAA